rnacentral:rRNA from 1 species
UACGUAGGUGGCAAGCGUUAUCCGGAAUUAUUGGGCGUAAAGAGCGCGCAGGUGGUUGAUUAAGUCUGAUGUGAAAGGCUACGGCUCAACCGUAUAAGCUUUUGGAACUGUAAGACUUGAGUGCAGGAGAGGAGAGUGGAAUUCCUAGUGUAGCGGUGAAAUGCGUAGAUAUUAGGAGGAACACCAGUAGCGAAGGCGGCUCUCUGGACUGUAACUGACGCUGAGGCACGAAAGCGUGGGGAGCAAACAGGAUUAGAUA